GAUGAACGCCGGCGGCGUGCCUAAUACAUGCAAGUCGAGCGAACGGACGAGAAGCUUGCUUCUCUGAUGUUAGCGGCGGACGGGUGAGUAACACGUGGAUAACCUACCUAUAAGACUGGGAUAACUUCGGGAAACCGGAGCUAAUACCGGAUAAUAUUUUGAACCGCAUGGUUCAAAAGUGAAAGACGGUCUUGCUGUCACUUAUAGAUGGAUCCGCGCUGCAUUAGCUAGUUGGUAAGGUAACGGCUUACCAAGGCAACGAUGCAUAGCCGACCUGAGAGGGUGAUCGGCCACACUGGAACUGAGACACGGUCCAGACUCCUACGGGAGGCAGCAGUAGGGAAUCUACCGCAAUGGGCGAAAGCCUGACGGAGCAACGCCGCGUGAGUGAUGAAGGUCUUCGGAUCGUAAAACUCUGUUAUUAGGGAAGAACAUAUGUGUAAGUAACUGUGCACAUCUUGACGGUACCUAAUCAGGAAGCCACGGCUAACUACGUG
rnacentral:rRNA from 1 species